rnacentral:lncRNA from 1 species
CUCUUUGAACUUGUGUUGCUGAGUAGGAAAUUGAAGGAUGUCCCAUUACUGCCCUCCUUGGAUUAUGAGAAACUGAAGAAGGAUUUGAUUUUGGGGAGUGACCGCUUGAAAGCCUUCUUGUUGCAGGCUCUGCGCUGGCGCUUGACCACAUCCCAUCCUGGAGAGCAGAGGGAGACCGUUCUGCAAGCCUACAUCAGCAAUGACCUCUUGGACUGUUAUAGCCACAACCAGGUCGCCUCUACCUUGCCCAGAACACAAAGGUGCUGCAGAUGCUGGAGGGAAGGCUGAAGGAGGAGGACAAGGAUAUCAUCACCAGGGAGAAUGUUCUUGGGGCCCUGCAGAAGUUCAGUCUCAGGCGCCCGCUGCAGACAGCGAUGAUUCAAGACGGCCUCAUCUUCUGGCUGGUUGAUGUUCUGAAGGACCCUGACUGCCUGUCUGACUACACGCUGGAGUACUCGGUGGCUUUGCUCAUGAACCUCUGCCUCCGCAGCACAGGGAAGAACAUGUGUGCCAAGGUGGCAGGCCUCGUGCUCAAAGUCCU